rnacentral:rRNA from 1 species
CAGCCGCCACGGGAAAACGGAGGGAGCUAGCGUUGUUCGGAAUUACUGGGCGUAAAGCGCACGUAGGCGGCUUUGUAAGUUAGAGGUGAAAGCCUGGAGCUCAACUCCAGAAUUGCCUUUAAGACUGCAUCGCUUGAAUCCAGGAGAGGUGAGUGGAACUCCGAGUGUAGAGGUGAAAUUCGUAGAUAUUCGGAAGAACACCAGUGGCGAAGGCGGCUCACUGGACUGGUAUUGACGCUGAGGUGCGAAAGCGUGGGGAGCAAACAGGAUUAGAUACCCCGGUAGUCCCUGUCUCUUAUAC